rnacentral:rRNA from 1 species
GACGAACGCUGGCGGCGUGCUUAACACAUGCAAGUCGAACGGUGAAGCGCCUUCCUUUUUGGUGGGUGUGGAUGAGUGGCGAACGGGUGAGUAACACGUGAGUAACCUGCCCCCUUCUUCUGGAUAACCGCAUGAAAGUUUGUCUAAUACGGGAUAUUCUGCGUCUUUCUCAUGAUGGGUCUGUGACAGAUAUUGUUUCGGUGGGGGAUGGGCUGGCGGCCUAUCAGGUUGUUGGUGGGUUGAUGGUCUACCAAGGCGGGGAGGGGUAGACGGCCUGGGAGGGUAGACGGCCAGACUGGGACUGAGACACGGCCGAGACUGCUACGGGAGGCAGCAGUGGGGAAUAGUGCGCAAUGGGCGCAAGCCUGAUGCAGCGACGCCGCGUGAGGGAUGGAGGCGUGCGGGUUGUGAACCUCUUUCGCCAGUGAAGCAGGCCUGCCUCGUUUGUGGGUGGGUUGACGGUAGCUGGAUAAGAAGCGCCGGCUAACUACGUG